rnacentral:misc_RNA from 1 species
CGCACCUUGCGCUCCUUGGUAUUCCGAGGAGCAUGCCUGUUUGAGUCUCAUGGAAUUCUCAACCUUCAACUUUAUUGAUGAAGGCUUGGACUUGGAGGUCGUGUCGGCUCUCGUAGUCGACUCCUCUGAAAUGCAUUAGUGCGAACGUUACCAGCCGCUUCAGCGUGAUAAUUAUCUGCGUUGCUGUGGGGGGUAAGUGAGUGUUCACGCUUCGAACCGUCUUCGGACAACAUUUCUGAACUCUGAGCUCAAAUCAGGUAGGACUACCCGCUGAACUUAA